rnacentral:rRNA from 1 species
AAUGAACGCUGGCGGCGCGCCUAAUACAUGCAAGUCGAGCGAGAAGACGUAGCAAUACGUUUGUAAAGCGGCGAACGGGUGAGGAAUACAUGGGUAACCUACCCUCGAGUGGGGAAUAACUAGCCGAAAGGUUAGCUAAUACCGCGUACGCUUCUUGGACUUCGGUUCAGGGAGGAAAGCGAUGCCGAGGGUAUCGCGCUCUUGGAUGGGCUCAUGUCCUAUCAGCUUGUUGGNGAGGUAACGGCUCACCAAGGCUUCGACGGGUAGCUGGUCUGAGAGGACGACCAGUCACACUGGAACUGAGACACGGUCCAGACACCUACGGGUGGCAGCAGUCGAGU